rnacentral:rRNA from 1 species
GCGAACCGGGGGAACUGAAACAUCUAAGUACCCCGAGGAAAAGAAAUCAACCGAGAUUCCCCCAGUAGCGGCGAGCGAACGGGGAGGAGCCCAGAGCCUGAAUCAGCAUGUGUGUUAGUGGAAGCGUCUGGAAAGGCGCGCGAUACAGGGUGACAGCCCCGUACACAAAAGCGCAUGUGCUGUGAGCUCGAUGAGUAGGGCGGGACACGUGGUAUCCUGUCUGAAUAUGGGGGGACCAUCCUCCAAGGCUAAAUACUCCUGACUGACCGAUAGUGAACCAGUACCGUGAGGGAAAGGCGAAAAGAACCCCGGCGAGGGGAGUGAAAAAGAACCUGAAACCGUGUACGUACAAGCAGUGGGAGCACCCUUUGGGGUGUGACUGCGUACCUUUUGUAUAAUGGGUCAGCGACUUAUAUUCUGUAGCAAGGUUAACCGUAUAGGGGAGCCGGAGGGAAACCGAGUCUUAAC